rnacentral:lncRNA from 1 species
UUUUUUUUUACUUGUAGAUACACAUAUAACUAAAGCUGUGGUUUCACAAGCUCUUUGAGCUCAUAGAAAUGAAGAUUUUUACAAAAAGGAACUUCUUUCUGCUGGGAAGGCUGUCUGAUCGACGUAUUAGCUGUUGGUCACACGCAUCUGGCCCGAAAACAGCAGGCAUCUGAAACUGCUUGGACCUGCUGGAGUCCACCUGGUCGAUCCACGGAUGCUGUAAACUGGUUGCUGACCAAAGAGUGGGAGAACUCCAGGAUUCCUCCCCAGAAAAGAGUGCCU